GUGAGUGUGGUGUAGCGGUAACAUGACAGGCUUCCACCCUGUUGUCGCGGGUUCGAUCCCCGUCACUCACUCCA
rnacentral:tRNA from 1 species